UGCUGCCUGAAGCCAGCACUUCGGGUAGAGUCAGGGGUCGCUGGUUGGCUCCUGGGGUGCUCAGGGAAGUGAUGUCGACAGCAGGAGAGGCCAUCUUCCACCUCCUUCCUGGGAAGCUGGCCAGGUGAUUAUAUGCCACAGGACUUCAUAUCCUUUGGAGAUGGAGGCAAUUGGUGAGCUGCCUGACAUGACAUGGGAGCUGGGAACUGAGCGAGGUCCUCUGGAAGCAUGUGACUUGAAGCACCAAGCUAUCUCUUACUCGCUGUAGCCCUAGCCAUCUCUCCAGCGUCUGCAUACAGUGAAUACAAUAUGAAUGGAGUAUGCUCAUGUGAACUAGUUUACUAAGGCCACAUUUGUAGUAUUCCUCUACAAAGAAGAAUUCUGAGCUUAAGAUAACCUGUAUGGACUUUGGAUGCAACUUGCUCCUUUGCCAAUCAAAGGGAAAAUUGCCAAGCAACUUAAAAAUGAGAGACAGGGUCUCACUAUGCACCAGCCUUGUCUGGCUUGGAGCUUGCUGUACAACCAGGUUGGCCUCAAACUCACAACGAUCUGCUGCCAGCCUUGACUCUCAGCUGCUGGGAUUAUGAGCCACCACGUACAUCAGAUGAAUUGGUUUUGGGUUUAUUUCAUUGAGUCAGCAAGGUAUUAUUAAGUAUAAAUAUCAUCAUAUUGCCAGAAAUAAUAUUUUAAUGCCACUUUCAUUUUUAAUUCAUGAAAAUGGCCAUUUGCCCUGACUUGAGGAGUAGUUUUGGC